rnacentral:rRNA from 1 species
AAGACGGAGGGUGCAAGCGUUGUUCGGAAUUACUGGGCGUAAAGCGUACGUAGGCGGUUAAUUAAGUCAAAUGUGAAAGCCCGGGGCUCAACCCCGAGGAUGCAUUUGAUACUGGUUAACUAGAGGGCGAUAGAGGAAAGCGGAAUUCCCAGUGUAGCGGUGAAAUGCGUAGAUAUUGGGAGGAACAUCGGUGGCGAAGGCGGCUUUCUGGGUCGUUCCUGACGCUGAGGUACGAAAGCGUGGGGAGCAAACGGGAUUAGAUACCCCGGUAGUCCACGCUGUAAACGAUGGAUACUAGGUGUAGUGGGUAUCGACCCCUGCUGUACCGUAGCUAACGCGUUAAGUAUCCCGCCUGGGGAGUACGCACGCAAGUGU